GACGUAGGGCGCGAGCGUUGUCCGGAUUUAUUGGGCGUAAAGGGCUCGUAGGCGGUCUGUUGCGUCAGGAGUGAAAACUCGGGGCUUAACCCCGAGCCUGCUUCUGAUACGGGCAGACUAGAGGUAUGCAGGGGGAGAACGGAAUUCCUGGUGUAGCGGUGAAAUGCGCAGAUAUCAGGAGGAACACCGGUGGCGAAGGCGGUUCUCUGGGCAUUACCUGACGCUGAGGAGCGAAAGUGUGGGGAGCGAACAGG
rnacentral:rRNA from 1 species